GACAGGAGGUGACCAAGCGUUAGGCGGAAUCAUCGUGGGCUUAAAGCGUGUGUAGGUGGUAUUUGUAAGUACCUUGUGAAAUCCCAUGGCUCAAGCCAUGGAACUGCUCGGUAUACUGCGAAAUCUUGAGCCACUUAGGGGCUACGGAACAAAUGGUGGAGCGGUGAAAUGCGUAGAUAUCAUUGGAACGCCAUGGUGAAAACAGGUAGCUGGGAGUGUGCUGACACUGAGAACAGAAAGCCAGGGGAGCGAACGGG
rnacentral:rRNA from 1 species